rnacentral:pre_miRNA from 1 species
UAUUAAAAGUUUCAGCCAUUUGUAUUGUUAAAAAUUAGCGUGGCUAACAGAAUAAUCGGAUAAUUACGCAUCAUAAUUCUUAACAUUAGUAAUGGCUAACAGAAUAAUCAGAUAAUUACGCAUCAUAAUUUUUAACAUUAGUAAUGGAUGAAAUUUUUAACA